rnacentral:rRNA from 1 species
UUAUAUUAUGGGAUAGAGGGAGAGUAACUCAUAGAGAUAGGGUGUAUGUGUGUAGUGAGGUGAUUGCACCGUGUUAAUUUUUUUUCUUUCAAUUUGGGCUCUGGUGUUUAAUUUCGUUAGCCUUCCUCCUCCGCUCGUGUCGUCGUCUCCACCACCCACGUUGGGUUCUAGCCACGUCUCUGUCUUCCUCUCCCUCUCGUUCUCCAUCUCGUUACCUCUCUGCUGCCAACCCGACCCAAGGUGCGUCUCCUCGCGACUCAACCCGCUCAAAUCCCAGCCAACUAGCGCCCAAUCCGGGGAGAAUUGGGUUGAUCCUUGUGCUGUGUUUGUUCCCAUCCUCGGAUCCUGGACCAAGAUCCGACCGAGAGCCCAGAUCUGCUGGUUGUUCGUCGCCAGCAUGGGUCUGGCGAAGGAUGGCGCCGAGAUGGAGGAGGGGACAUUGGAGAUUGGCAUAGAGUAUAGGACUGUCUCCGGUGUGGCAGGGCCGUUGGUUAUUUUGGACAAAGUAAAGGGCCCAAAGUAUCAGGAGAUUGUGAACAUCCGAUUGGGAGAUGGCACCACUCGUCGUGGUCAAGUCCUCGAAGUCGAUGGUGAAAAAGCUGUUGUGCAGGUAUUUGAAGGUACUUCAGGGAUAGACAACAAGUAUACUACUGUGCAGUUCACAGGCGAGGUUUUGAAAACUCCCGUCUCACUUGAUAUGCUUGGACGCAUUUUUAAUGGCUCUGGAAAACCUAUUGAUAAUGGCCCCCCUAUAUUGCCCGAGGCUUACUUGGAUAUUUCUGGAAGUUCUAUCAACCCAAGUGAGAGAACCUAUCCAGAAGAGAUGAUUCAAACAGGAAUAUCCACCAUUGAUGUCAUGAACUCGAUCGCUCGAGGGCAAAAAAUUCCUCUUUUCUCUGCUGCUGGACUUCCUCAUAAUGAAAUUGCUGCUCAAAUUUGUCGUCAAGCUGGUCUCGUUAAAAGGUUGGAGCAAAGCAAGCAUGCAGCAGAGGGAGGUGAAGAAGACAAUUUUGCAAUUGUGUUUGCUGCUAUGGGAGUAAACAUGGAAACGGCACAAUUUUUCAAGCGUGACUUCGAAGAAAAUGGUUCAAUGGAGCGGGUCACUCUUUUCCUGAAUUUGGCAAAUGACCCCACUAUUGAGCGUAUUAUCACUCCUCGAAUUGCCUUAACAACUGCUGAAUAUUUGGCAUAUGAAUGUGGGAAGCAUGUUCUUGUGAUUCUAACAGAUAUGAGCUCAUAUGCCGAUGCACUUCGUGAGGUCUCAGCAGCACGAGAAGAGGUACCUGGUAGGCGUGGUUAUCCUGGGUAUAUGUAUACUGAUCUGGCCACCAUAUAUGAGCGAGCUGGGCGUAUCGAGGGAAGAAAAGGAUCAAUUACCCAAAUUCCUAUUCUUACAAUGCCUAAUGAUGAUAUCACCCAUCCAACUCCUGAUCUUACGGGAUACAUUACCGAAGGGCAGAUAUAUAUUGACAGACAGCUUCAUAAUAGACAGAUAUACCCACCCAUCAACGUCCUGCCAUCUCUUUCUCGUCUGAUGAAGAGUGCUAUUGGUGAAGGUAUGACACGCCGGGAUCAUUCAGAUGUGUCCAAUCAGCUGUAUGCCAACUACGCCAUUGGGAAGGAUGUUCAAGCCAUGAAAGCAGUUGUCGGAGAGGAGGCUCUUUCAUCUGAGGACCUGCUCUAUUUAGAAUUCCUCGAUAAGUUUGAGAGGAAAUUUGUAGCGCAAGGAGCAUACGAUACUCGGAACAUUUUUCAGUCACUUGAUCUGGCAUGGACAUUGCUACGCAUAUUCCCCCGUGAACUUCUCCACCGUAUUCCUGCGAAGACCUUGGAUCAGUUCUACAGCAGAGAUGCCACCCAUUGAUCCAUUUUGUUCAUAAAAGUCCAUUUUUUUCAUGAUGAACAGCUUGAAUAAGAGAAGAAUCCAAACUUGUAUCAUUUUGCUACGUUAUAUAGUCAGAUCCUAUUCUUUCCAGUCUGUAUGCACAAGUUGUACCCCACAUGUCUUGUGCACUGGCAGCUUUGUAAUCCCAUGUAGCUUCCAUUCACAAGCUAGACCUCUUUCUGGUUUCAUUUCCCUGUAUUGUGCAGCAAAACUGAAAAGCCGUUUAGGCGCGUACAUGCCCGAAGAUGUUAGUUAUAUAUUUUUGGACUUGUGGAAAAUGUAAACAAUAUUGAUUUGUUCUUUGUUAAGGCUUUUAAGUAAAUUGAUU